GUUCUCUCCAUUUACCUAUGUCUACUUCAAAAGCUUCAAUUUUUACUUGAUGUGUAUAAUUAUGCUCGAUUUUUGCUUUCUGAGAUUUCUUAUACUUUUGUUGGGGAUUUUUACUAAUGAUUUUGUUUUUUAUUUUUUUCAAAAUAGCCACACAUCCACAUCUCAACUACAACCUGCAAUUCACCCCCAAAAAUCGGCAAAAGUUGACUUGCUAGCUAGCCGAUGUACCUAUAUCUGGCCCUCAAAUUUUGGCUUACUAAUAUUCAAAUAGCAAUAAUUUUUUUUCCUUCUUUGUUUUGAUGUCUAAGUUUUGCCGCAGAUUGUCCUAGAGGAAGCAGAUGAUUUGAUGGAUUAUAAUCUGAUUGUCGAGGGUGCCUUAACUGUCACUAUGAGCUAACUUUUAAUUUCACUUUCAAAAAUUUCCUUCUAAUCGUUGUAUACAUUGGUUUCUUCCAUGUUUUUGCUGUUUUUAUUUGGGAACUAUAUAGCUUUGCUCGAAUCAUUGUGAACAUUUUUAUUUUGUGUUCUAUUGAAAACGCUUCGAAAUUGGACAACAAGGGCCUAUUUUGUAUUGCAUACGAGGAAUUACUAGCUAAACUUCAACUUCAUCUUGUCAAAGAAGCAUCUAAUUGUGGGACCUGAAUAUAUUGUCUUUGUAGUUCAUUGUGGGAAAUUUUGAAAGAAGCUGCUUCUGGAGGAAAAGAUGCAAAAACAGUCAAACUGAAAUUGGAAAUCAAUGUAAAGGUCAGAUAUUUUCCACAAAGGGGUAUAAUUAACUAAUUGAGGAAAAAUUCUUGGUAGAUUAUAUAAAUAUAGAAAGGGGAGACAUUAUUUCAAUUUUUGAUGCUUGUAAUUCUUCACAUAAGAUUACGAGAACUUGGAUUCUUUUCAUUUUAUUUGCAUCCGCGGGCUAUUAGAAGGAUUUUUUUUUUUUUUUUUUUUUUUUUUUUGCCUUGGUAAUUUCAAUUUUUAGUAGUCUUUUGUUUGACUGAUUAUUCAUAGAAUUAUAGAAGAGAACUUGUUUUCAUUUCAAGUUACUAUAGUUCAAUGAUCUUUCUUUCUUGCAUCUUUUCUCUAAAGCAUGUGCUAGAAUUUUCUUGAUUGUUAUCGAAGCUAAGAAUUGGAUAAAGUCUUGUAAAAAACAUGUACUCCGAAAAGUUUCCAUUGGUUUGUACAUGAAGUUUUAUACUAGCUUCAUUUUCUUAUACAUGGGUCAUAUUAAUAUAUUUGGGGGACAAAUAAAAUGUUGAAGUAUUUGACAAUAAUGUUUUAUAGGUUGUAUGUCUUUAUGAGAAAUCUUAUGAAUAUUUAUAUACCAAGUAAUGCAAGAACACUCAAUGAUGUCAGUGUUGAGAAAUUGAAGGCAUGGUGAACCUAAUAAGAUAGAAAAAGUUCACUGUAGUCUCGCACCGAUCAUAGUAAUUACCCUCAUGUUGUCAUACGCAAAAUUGAAUAUUGUUUCUUGUGUAGAUCCUUCUAACAAUAUAUUCUGGAAAAGAGCUUGGGCCAAUCACCAAUUAUGCAUGUUCUUCUCUAUUACAAGGGGGGUUCCCACAAUUUUUCUCCAUCAGGGAGGCCAGAUGAUGUCAACGGUCACUAUUGCUAUUGGCGAGAAUUUAAUCCCUCAUUGUAAGUGUACUUGAAAUACUUAACGAAGUACAUUGAGGAGUGGCUCAAAUGAUAAUUCUAAUAUGACACUGAGCAAUAUGGGUGAAGGUUGGUAGUUCCUCACUAUU
rnacentral:lncRNA from 1 species